UGGAAGGUCACAUACCUAAGUCAUGUGGGU
rnacentral:piRNA from 1 species